GGUAACACGGACUGGAGGCCCGAACCCACUCCCGUUGCAAAGGUAGGGGAUGAGUUGUGGCUAGGAGUGAAAAGCUAAUCGAACCCGGAGAUAGCUGGUUCUCCUCGAAAGCUAUUUAGGUAGCGCCUCAUGUAUCACUGCUGGGGGUAGAGCACUGUUAUGGCUAGGGGGUCAUUGCGACUUACCAAACCAUUGCAAACUCCGAAUACCAGCACGUGCGAGCAUGGGAGACACACGGCGGGUGCUAACGUCCGUCGUGAAAAGGGAAACAACCCAGACCCGCAGCUAAGGUCCCCAAAUCAUCGCUAAGUGGAAAACGAUGUGGGAAGGCACAGACAGCCAGGAGGUUGGCUUAGAAGCAGCCACCCUUUAAAGAAAGCGUAAUAGCUCACUGGUCGAGUCGGCCUGCGCGGAAGAUUUAACGGGGCUAAGCGAUGUACCGAAGCUCGGGGUGCAUUCUUUGAAUGCGCGGUAGAGGAGCGUUCCGUAAGCCUGUGAAGGUGAGUCGUAAGGCUUGCUGGAGGUAUCGGAAGUGCGAAUGCUGACAUGAGUAACGAUAAGGGGGGUGAAAAGCCCCU
rnacentral:ncRNA from 1 species